CAGGCACGCGGGGGCUCCGCGCUCCGACUCUUGCGCCACGAGCACGAGGCGUUCCGCACAAGCUUCCCGAGCGGCGACGCGGCUUUGUGGACUACCCGAGGCCCUGGGGAGGGUGGCCUUUAGAUGAGCCUGUCUCCUGGAAUGCUUGGGCGGUGGCUGAGACGCUUUGCGAUGGAUCCCCCCGCCCCAAAGUACAUGCAGUGGAGUAAUUACAAGACAUCAUUGCCUGAGUCUUCCUAUUGCCCACGGGGGCCCUAACCUGAAGGUGUGGGGUUCGAGGUGGUGCCCUGACAGGUUGUGUCAGCCUGUGGUGACUGACGCUGGAUGCACAUAAGUACUGGAGGAAAAGCUUCUUCCCUAGAUACCUCUCUUAGAACAGUGCCUUGAACCUAACAGUUGUGCAGUCACCUUUUGUGAAUGAAGAAGCAGAUGAAUGCAUGAACACACACCCAGGACAAGCUUUAUGGUCCACUCAGCAGAUGAAGCCAACCCUGAAGAGAAACACUGUGUUCUAUGUCCAGUAAAGCCUUGGGCCUCUUGGUAGCUGUUGGGGUUGACUGGAUGUCAGUUAGCAGGUGUCCGCCCCAACGCAAUGGUGCAGUGUUUGGAGAGCGAAUGCUGACCUUCAAGACCAGGUGGCUCCACAGAGCUGGCUCCCAGUAACUCACACAGCCUCUCCCCUGCCUUGGAUGUGCCAGAACUUCAAAGAGCAAGCGCGGUGACACCAGCGGCCUGAUUGACAGUGACCCUGGCAGCCCUGAUGCACAUCUCAAUGAGGAAGUAAUCAAGACACCUGCCUUGAGCUCUUUCUCCUCUGCAUCACCCCUCUGCCCUGCUGACCUGACUUGGAAACAGCCAACUAUGAACUGAAACCUCUACAAACUGUGAGCCAAAAUAAACCUCUCCUCCUUCAAUUUGUGGGUGUCCCGUAUUGCGUCCCAGCAAUGACAAGGAUCUCACUAUGCAGUUCAGGCUAGCAUUGAAGUCACUAUGUAUCCUAGACUGAUCUCAAACUCGAGGUGAUCUUCCUGCCUCAGCUUCCCUAGUGCUGGGACUACAGAGCAUCCCGACCACCUGAGAUGCCAGUGUGACCAGGCCAGGUGCCCAUGCCAACUGGGAAGACAAGAUUGUGCCUGCAUCCUCUGGUGCCUCUGUCCCACACCUGAGUACUCUCUUCAUGGGGAAACAAGGAAAGGCCUGAUAAGGGGCAGAAUGUGGACAACAUGCAAAACACAUUUCUUUCUCUGUCAACUUGGAUAGCACCAGCAGCGUUGGUGAUUUUUACCAUGACUGACAGAGUGACUCCUUUUGGCCAAGAUGGGCUUCGGUUUUGGAUCCUGUUUUUGUUUUUGGAUUUUUUCCUCUCUUUUCUAGUACAGCUUAAGCACUGCCUACAUUUGGUUUGACAAGUAAACCUUCAAAAUGCCAAACAGUGGCUUGGAGGAGGCCUGAAAUAAACAGAACGUGG
rnacentral:lncRNA from 1 species